rnacentral:rRNA from 1 species
AGAACGAACGCUGGCGGCAUGCCUAAUACAUGCAAGUCGAACGAACACUUCGGUGUUAGUGGCGCACGGGUGCGUAACGCGUGGGAAUCUGCCCUUGGGUUCGGAAUAACAGUUGGAAACGACUGCUAAUACCGGAUGAUAUCGAAAGAUCAAAGAUUUAUCGCCCAGGGAUGAGCCCGCGUAGGAUUAGCUAGUGGUGAGGUAAAGGCUCACCGAAGGCGACGAUCCGUUAGCUGGUCUGGAGAGGAUGAUCGAGCCACGACGUGGGACUGACGACACCGGCCCAGACCGUCCGUACGGGGAGC